rnacentral:lncRNA from 1 species
UUAAAUACUAAACUAGUAAAAAUUGACUAAAAAUUCAACUAAAAUUGACUCUAAAAAUAGUGUAUGACUGAUUGUCAUCACAACCCCAAACUUGAACCGUUAUUUGUCCUCAAGGAACCAACUUAAAAUGAAAAAUAACAGUAAAAUAACACUUACUUCAUCAAUGGUCAUAUCAAAAGUUCAUUUCCCUAGUUAGCAAAUGAUGAGCUAACUUGCUUGGUUACACAUCCAUUCCACAACUUCUCACAGCAAUAUAUUGAAAUAUAACGUGGUUCACUUAGUCGACAUGUAGAACUACUAUAUUACCAAAACUUGAAAAAUUUCUAAGAAUCAAUCAAAGUCAAUAUUAUGCACACACUUUUAAGGACUUUUUAGGUUAUAACGUGGCUUAGGUUAGGGGUGGGAUCAUUUGGAAAAUAGGUUUAAGAAAACAACGGAGUUAGACUUCAUCCAACUGAUCUAAGGCACACCACGCACCACAAUAUCAUAUCAGGGGACUAGAGUUUUUUUUUUUUUUUUUACUGAAUGAAACAACUGAUUACUUUUUGACUAUAAGGAUUUUAUAUAUUUUUUUUAGCUGCAAAUUUGACAAUUCAGCUUAUUUUAUCAUGCUUAUUAUUAUUUUUAUAGCACAAAGUGAUUUUGCUUUUCCUUUCUCUAGUACCCCUACCCCAAACUUAGAGUGUUGCUAGUUCCAAGAGCAACCCCAAACUUAAACUUUUCAAAAUAACACGCAUAAACAUGCCUAACUCCAACAAAAUUUUGGGUACAUUCUAAAGUCUCUAGGCUUGUAAUGUGGUUAGUCACCGAAACAAGGGGUCUAAAUCCUAGUGGCUCAACUUGGUUUAAACAAAUGAUAAUUCAAUAUAAACAAAGAUGGGCUACAAAGGCUCAAGGUACAAGCAAUUUGCCUUAGUGUGUACAAUAUAUGACCAAUCAAUUACAAAGAAAAAUCGCAAAUCAUAGAAACAACAUCUACAUGGAAACACUCAUAUUUGUAAAAAUUGAAAAAUAAGUUUAGGCCAUAACCUUACAAGCUGAGGUUUCUGGAAGUUGUGGCUACCUAAGCAUCAUUUCCUGCAAUUCACUUCUCUUAUGGUACUUAAUCAAGCAACCACCUCCUUGGAACUUUUGACAAACCAUUGGUGAAAUCUUUGUUACUAGACUGGUAAAAUUCAAGAAAAGUAAAUUCAUUAAUAACAAACAAGCAAACAAUAAAAGUUAUUAAAAAUGGGAACCAAACUGAGAAUUGACACAACCGACAAAGACAAGUUAUUGAAAAAAAAAUAAGAACUGAUGUGGAAUCUGAUUUCUUUUUCCGUCCAUCUUUUAAUUAUUUUUUUACUGAAUAGAAAUACCUGCAAAAUAAACAAAAUUAGAAAAUAUGAUGGGUUGACUCCCAUCAAGCGCUUUCUUUUACAUCAUUAAACUUGACGCCUCAGCCACUGUUAGGGUGGAAAAUAUGAAAGAAAGAAUAUAUCAUCUUUCUUUUUCCUCUUGUUUGGUAGAAAUUCCAUGAACUUCAUACAAUGUAGCAGAUGCUCCCAUGAUCCAACUGCUAGACUUUCGGCAUUUGAGCUCUCCCACCAAAAACAAUAAUAGAUAUACCUUUGCAAAUGAAUGAUUUCUUUCAACCCCGUUGGUUGAGACUUCAGAUAGAGACCAACAUUCCUCACUUGUGCAUUUUCUUCCACCACAACAUGACACCCAGUCUCCAUCUCAACCAGCUGCUUCUCACAUUCAUUCGCUUUCCCAACAAGAUCACCACACUGAACUUCAAAUUUCUCAAAUGAAACUUGAUUUAAUAUCAAGAUAUCAUCCAAAAUAUUUUGAAGCUGAGUAUUGUAAUUGAUGUUGAUAAGCUCUUUCAGCCCUUCACAAUCUGUACCUUGAUGAUUCACCUCAUGAAGAUCACAUCUCACAUUUAAUCUUGAGAUUUGAUUGUCCCAUUGUUUUAUCUUCCAAGAAAGCAGAUAUUUUUCAUACUCCAACGUGACAAUCUCCUCUGUGUCAUAAAGGCGUAACCUGUCUAAUAACCUGUCUAUCAUAGGUGCGAAAUUUGGAUAAACUUUUUAGGAUCAAAGUACAAUGAGAUAAACAUGAAGAACAUAAAUCAUAAUUUUUUUCAAUUUUUUAAUAUAUAGACAAAAAAUGUAAUUGACAGAAAUCCUAAACAAUAACGAAAUUUCCAAGCUGAAAUGAUUCAACAGAAUCAUAAAAGCAUUAAGAACGAUUUCUACCGAAUAAAUUAGAAUGGCAUUCAUAAAGAUUAAGAGUUACAGGUUACAUAGUCAUGAGCUAGAACAAAAUCAUCUAUGACCUAAUCAAUGGAAAUUAGCCACUCAUGAUAAAAGAAUUUAAACAACAAGGUUAAAACAAAUUACGAAGAGAGAUGUUUUACUCAUCAAAUUUCUUCAAUCCGUGAUGCUACUCUUCUAUAUGCGUGCGUGCGUUUUUGCUUGUGGCUUUCCUUUCAUUCCGUGCUCUUUCUCCAAAAAAACGUGAAACCUAGAUCCCGUUGUGCCCAAUCGUGAAUGUCUAGAACGUGAAAACCAGGCUGUUGUGAAGCACCCCUACUUUUUAUAUGGCUCUGGCACUUAUAUUUUCUUCACAUAUUAAUCCCUUGUUAAUUCUCUCGGGUCCACAAAUUAUGCAUAGCCCAAUGCACCAAAUAAUCUUGCUGCUAUUUUUCUACUCAUAACUCCUUUUUCUUAUUAGGCUAGACAAGUGCCACAUUAAUAUCAAUAAAUUAGAAAUGAUGCUUUAUUUAAACUGGCUCCUUAUUAAAUACUAAACUAGUAAAAAUUGACUAAAAAUUCAACUAAAAUUGACUCUAAAAAUAGUGUAUGACUGAUUGUCAUCACAACCCCAAACUUGAACCGUUACUUGUCCUCAAGGAACCAACUUAAAAUGAAAAAUAACAGUAAAAUAACACUUACUUCAUCAAUGGUCAUAUCAAAAGUUCAUCUCCCUAGUUAUGAUUGACUCUAAAAAUAGUGUAUGAUUGAUUGUCAUCAGUAGUUGUCAGUGUAAAACUAGUUUACACUGACAAUGCAUAUCCCC